rnacentral:lncRNA from 10 species
CGCACUGUGCCCUGAGGUGCAAGAGGAUGCAGGGUGGAAGUCGUCCCAAGAGAGUCCAGGGAUCAAGUGGGCAUGCCCUUUUAGCCUUGGCACGAAAUGGAGCAGAAAAAGAGCCGGAUGCGGAUUACUGUGGUGCCCUAGGCUCAGAUUCUGCUGAGUCACUGUGACUGCGGAUUUGGAAGGCUGAGAGUCCUGGGGAGACAUGCUCCGUGGAGACGAAUUUGUUUCUUCCUUUGCAAGAUUCAGAUUCUGCACUUGGGGGCCCAUACAACACACUUCCCUGGGUGCAUGCCACUGCACCACCCCUGCUCCUCAAGGAGGCUGGGGAAAGCUGGUGGUGUGGUUUUGGUCCAAACUCAAGAGUGAGAACCAGGGGAGCCAGCGUUGCAAGUGCCACUCCCAGUCCAAAGGCCCAAGAACCAGGAACAGCAGUGCCCGAGAGCAAGAGAAGAUGAUGUCCCACCUCAAGAAAAG